rnacentral:lncRNA from 10 species
GAGCUCCCAACAAAACGGUUCCAUCUUUGGCUAGGCCUUUGGUAUUUCAAGGCGCUGCCGGUGGGGAGAGAUGCCGCGUGCCUGAGAGGCUCUGGGAGAUGUUAUGUGGUCAACAGGGACUGAGGCUCUUUAAGCCCUUAAAUCUCUAAGGGCUAAAUCUCCUUCCUGAUAUUCGCCCCCAAACCGGCACCAAAGAAGGCCCAGAGAGGUUUAACAACUUCCUCAGAAUCACACAGCUUCCAAAUGGUUGGGUUGGGUUUACAUUUAGGCGGUCUUGCUCCAGAGCCAGUGCUCCUAACCUUUGCAAGCCACGAACCUCAAGAAAGUGGAGAAGGAAACGCUGGGAAAUCUGGAAGUCAGACAUGGCAACCUAGUUUAUCUCCCGGGAGCUGACUUCAUUUCUAAACGUAUAGGGGUUUCUUAGAGGAGCUUCAGAAUACUAAUCAUCGCUAGUGAGGGCACUUGGACACUUUGCU